rnacentral:lncRNA from 1 species
GUUGAGGGGAAAACACUAGUCUGGAAGUCAGGAGACCUAGGUUCCAGCUCCUUCUGUCAGCAGUAUGUGACCUUGUGAGAGUCCCUGACUCUGGGCUUCAACAUCUCCAUGAUGAGGCAUAGGAGCUGGACUCAUCUAACAAUCGCCAGGGCCCUCUGCAGCUCUGAUCCUGUAGCACGGUAGUGGACGUCCACAGACCUGGCCGAGUGCAAGCAGCGUGAACUUGGAGGCCUGGCUUCCUGAUCUGGAAAAUUUAUCCCGGAGAGUAAUCAUGAAGAUGAAAUGAGCUAAUGGACCAAAUGCAGAAAGCUCUAUGCCAGCAUGAGUUAUUUUUAUUAAGUAACUAAUAAGAACAACAAAGUGAAGUCCCGUCCCUUUGAGACUCGGCCUACAGUGUGCACAGCGGCCCGGUGUUUCGUUGGUUCGAAUCCUGGGCGCGGACAUGGCACUGCUCAUCAAACCACGCUGAGGCAGUGUCCCACGUGCCACAACGAGAAGGACCCACAAUGAAGAAUAUACAACUAUGUACUGGGGGGCUUUGGGGAGAAAAAGCAAAAAAAAUAAAAUCUUAAAAAUAAAAAAGAAU